AAUUUAUUAACCGUAAUACAGGUUUGUUCAAGUCUACUCCGACUUGUCAAACGUUGGACUGCGUGACGUAUAGUCCCUACUUGUGUAACACACAGUAACACAUCCACUUGUGUGAAAUGUGUCCAUACACUAAGGUACACCGUCGUGCUAGCAUUGUGUGACCUCACAGUCACCCCCUUCCAACCCACGACCUCAGAUCAGGCAAGAUUACCCGCUUAACUUAAGCAUAUCAGUCAGCGGAGGAAAAGAAAACAAACGUGAUUCCCUUAGUAACGGCGAGUGAAAAGGGA
rnacentral:misc_RNA from 1 species